rnacentral:rRNA from 1 species
CCUACGUGAGUCAGCAGUCGAGAAUCAUUCACAAUGGGGGAAACCCUGAUGGUGCGACGCCGCGUGGGGGAAUGAAGGACUUCGGAUUGUAAACCCCUGUCAUGUGGGAGCAAAUUAAGAAGCUAGUACCACAAGCGGAAGCGACGUCUGACUCUGUGCCAGCAGCCGCGGUAAUACAGAGGUCUCAAGCGUUGUUCGGAAUCACUGGGCGUAAAGCGUGCGUAGGCUGUUUCGUAAGUCGUGUGUGAAAGGCGCGGGCUCAACCCGCGGACGGCACAAGAUACUGCGAGACUAGAGUAAUGGAGGGGGAACCGGAAUUCUCGGUGUAGCAGUGAAAUGCGUAGAUAUCGGGAGGAACACUCGUGGCGAAGGCGGGUUCCUGGACAUUAACUGACGCUGAGGCACGAAGGCCAGGGGAGCGAAAGGGAGUAGAUACCCCAGUAGUC